rnacentral:rRNA from 1 species
CAAUAGCGUAUAUUAAAGUUGUUGCAGUUAAAAAGCUCGUAGUUGGAUUUGUGGCUGUCACGGGCGGCCUAUCACUUAGUGUUAGUGCUUGCCUGUGUCGCCAUCCUUGGGUGGAGCCCGUGUGGCAUUAGGUUGUCGUGCGGGGGAUGCCCAUCGUUUACUGUGAGAAAAUUAGAGUGUUCAAAGCAGGCUUAUGCCAUUGAAUAUGUUAGCAUGGAAUAAUAAGAUAGGACCUCGGUACUAUUUUGUUGGUUUGCGCACCGAGGUAAUGAUAAAUAGGGACAGUUGGGGGUAUUCGUAUUUCAUUGUCAGAGGUGAAAUUCUUGGAUUUCUGAAAGACGAACUACUGCGAAAGCAUUUACCAAGGAUGUUUUCAUUAA